AGUUACCGCUGAAUUUAUCUAUACGUCACCACUGGUUGAUCCGUUUUAAUUAUUGUCGUCAUCCAUUCACACCGAUUGAAGAAUAGAAACCAACUCUGUUGCUCUCCUUUUCUGGCCUUCUCCAUUCCUCCUCCGUCUCCCGUCCGUAAGAUGGAACCGUCGAAUCGGAAGAGGAGAGUAGGCGGCGACGACGACGGCCGUCCGCCGUCGAGACCGCGACCGUCGUCCCCGCAGCGGCUCCAUGACAGGCGUCGGGCGGCGACGGACGACGAGGUCGAGGAGUUCUUCGCCAUCCUCCGCCGAACGCGCGAUGCGCUGCGGUGCCUCGUCUCCCGGCCAAGGCCGGCGCCCACGUCGACGAGGUGGAGCCCGGAGUUCGCGUGGGAGGACUUCGCCGGGCACGGCACCACAAAAGACGACGGCGACACGGGUGUGGCCGCGGAGCAGAGGCCGCCGGCUUCGACGGAUCCGGCCGGACCUGCGGAUAUCGUCGCACCGAGGCUCCUCGAUCUCAACGCCGACCCGGAUCCCGAGAGCCUGGCAGCGGUGAGUCCUCAUCCCGGUGCAGCUACCGCCCACUGGGCUCGAGCGCUCGCUUAAUUCCUUUAGGUCACAUCGACUCACAAGCGGUUGGGAUCCGACGAGGGCGUGUUGCGUGAUGUCAUGGUAUUGCCCGUGAAUUCAUGGGACCGACGCCCAUGGCUGGUUGGCCAAGAUGACUCUCAGGUCCUCUGAGAGAGAGAGAGAGACUUAACUUUAGGGUGAGUCAGCUGUCUUUUCCGAUAGUAAUGGUGCUUAAAUGUCGCACAAGCAUUAAGUCAGCAAACGCAGGCCUGCAACCACGGCAAAGUCACAACGUAAGAAUACUGUACAAGCAAUAGGUAUCGGGGGUUCAGAGACCAUUCUCAUGUUCGGGCCACUCGCUACGUUGCUUAUAUUGAAAGCGUCAGACAGCAGUAUCAAUUAUUUCUUUGACUUUUAGAGUUAUUACCUACCAAUCUUCUCUCCA